rnacentral:rRNA from 1 species
AAUGGUUCUGGUUCAUAUA